rnacentral:rRNA from 1 species
AUUGAACGCUGGCGGCAGGCCUAACACAUGCAAGUCGAGCGGAUGAAGGGAGCUUGCUCCUGGAUUCAGCGGCGGACGGGUGAGUAAUGCCUAGGAAUCUGCCUGGUAUUGGGGGAUAACGUCCGGAAACGGGCGCUAAUACCGCAUACGUCCUGAGGGAGAAAGUGGGGGAUCUUCGGACCUCACGCUAUCAGAUGAGCCUAGGUCGGAUUAGCUAGUUGGUGGGGUAAAGGCCUACCAAGGCGACGAUCCGUAACUGGUCUGAGAGGAUGAUCAGUCACACUGGAACUGAGACACGGUCCAGACUCCUACGGGAGGCAGCAGUGGGGAAUAUUGGACAAUGGGCGAAAGCCUGAUCCAGCCAUGCCGCGUGUGUGAAGAAGGUCUUCGGAUUGUAAAGCACUUUAAGUUGGGAGGAAGGGCAGUAAGUUAAUACCUUGCUGUUUUGACGUUACCAACAGAAUAAGCACCGGCUAACUUCGUG